CAUCUUCAGCAUCCAUGCCCAUUCAUCCACAGGUGGGGAUUGGUGGCAUUACUUGUGUUAGAUAUAAAGUAUUGCACUUGUCCCGGCCUGAGGAAGAAAGAGGGUUUUUAAUCGUCUUUUA
rnacentral:precursor_RNA from 7 species